rnacentral:rRNA from 1 species
CCUCCCCGGGUAAGCGUGUAGGAGGUCCCCGAUGAGAGUUGGGGGCGUUAACUCUGAGACGUGAUGCCGAGUCGAUUCAGACGAAGUCAUUGAUCCCAUACUGUCAAGAAAAGCCCAACAGUGAGUUGGCACGGUACCCGUACCCCAAACCGACACAGGUGGGCGGGUAGAGAAUACCAAGGCGAUCGGGAGAACUAUGGUUAAGGAACUCGGCAAAUUACAUCCGUAACUUCGGGAGAAGGAUGACCUUACUAGUGUGACGGGAUUUACUCCCCGAGCACGAGAAGGUGGCACAGACCAGGGGGUAGCGACUGUUUACCAAAAACACAGCAGCGUGCGAAGCCGCAAGGCGCUGUAUACGCUGUGACGCCUCCCCAAUGCUGGAAGGUCACGGGGAACGGUUAGUCGCAAGGCGAAGCUGUGAACCUAAGCCCCAGUGAAUGGCGGCCGUAACUAUAACGGUCCUAAGGUAGCGAAAUUCCUUGUCGGGUAAGUUCCGACCUGCACGAAUGGCGUAACGACUUCCCCGCUGUCUCAACCAUAGACCCGGCGAAAUUGAAGUACGAGUAAAGAUGCUCGUUAGCUGCGGAAGGACGGAAAGACCCCAUGGACCUUCACUAUAACUUGAUGUUGAGUCUUGACCUGCAUUGUGUAGGAUAGGUGGGAGACUUGGAAGCAUUGGCGCCAGCUAGUGUGGAGUCAUCGUUGAAAUACCACCCUGUGUAUGUUGGGACUCUAACCUGGGUCCAUUAUCUGGAUCAGGAACAGCGUCAGGCGGGUAGUUUGACUGGGGCGGUCGCCUCCUAAAAUGUAACGGAGGCGCCCAAAGGUUCCCUCAGGCUGGUUGGCAAUCAGCCGUCGAGUGCAAUGACACAAGGGAGCUUGACUGCGAGACUGACAGGUCAAGCAGGUGCGAAAGCAGGGCAUAGUGACCCGGCCAUCACGUGUGGAAGUGUGGUCGCUCAACGGAUAAAAGGUACCCUGGGGAUAACAGGCUAAUCUUUCCCAAGAGUCCAUAUCGACGGAAAGGUUUGGCACCUCGAUGUCGGCUCAUCGCAUCCUGGGGCUGAAGCAGGUCCCAAGGGUUGGGCUGUUCGCCCAUUAAAGCGGUACGCGAGCUGGGUUCAGAACGUCGUGAGACAGUUCGGUCCCUAUCCUCCGCAGCCGAAGGUAUAUUGAGGAAGGCUGUCCCUAGUACGAGAGGACCGGGACGGACGGAGCUCUAGUGUGUCUGUUGUCCUGCCAAGGGCAUGGCAGAUUAGCUACCUCCGGAAGGGAUAACUGCUGAAAGCAUCUAAGUAGGAAACCCGUUCCAAGAUGAGUAUACCCAUGCGGUUAACGCAGUAAGGCCCGUGGCUAGACCACCACGUUGAUAGGCCGGAAGUGUAAGCACGGUAACGUGUUGAGCUGACCGGUACUAAUCGGCCGAGGGCUUGGUC